ensembl:lncRNA
GAUAUAGAAAUCAAUUCUAUGGGGUUCUUGUUUCUAUGUUGUCCUCUGUCAAAACAUGUAUAGAUUUAUAAGUGCAUUUUUUGAUUAUUUGUCCAUAUCCUGCUGGGGAAGACUGCCUACGUCUGUUAAAAAGUAAGUGUCCAGUUAAGAGUGCGGUAGAAUGUCUUUGUUGUGAGAACGUUGUUUAUUCUCAGACGUCCUAAAGCAUCUGCCCUCCCCGUUGUUCUUCUCCGUUCAGCCCGGACGAGACGGUGCCCCCGAGAGGAGGCCAGAGGAGCUGAGGCCAGUAGAGCUGAGGCCCGAGGAACUGAGUCUAGAGGAAGUGAGGCCGGAGGAGCUGAGGCCAGUGGAGGCGACUCCUCGGAGCCAAUAAAAACUUGUCCCCCUGGCAACCGAAGAGCUCGGCCCGGCGAAGCUGCACAAACAGGGUCCAGAGCCGAGGAGGCCCAGGACCACCGCAAAGACCCACAGUAGUCUGCCCUCUCCUGUUAUUGUGUCCGUCUCAGCUUUGGAGUCUUUCUGCAGCGCCGCUCGUCCGUCAGAGGCAGGUCUGGGGUCAGUGCAUCAGGAGGCCGGGAUGGAGCUGAUAAUUAUUCAUAUUCACUUGGUUGGUGACAGUCGCCUGUUGCUGAUGGAAGUCGUAUUAUAAAGCAUGGAUGAGAAUAUUCUGCAACUUCCAAAUAGUGCUCAGAUAUUAAAGUAGGUUUUUAAUGUCAUGAGAGGAGCAAAUAUAAAACAGACUUUCUUCACACGCGUUUUAUAUGAGACAAUGAAAUAGAGAUAAUAUGAUAUGAAUCCCAGGCUUUAUGUCGUAAGUUGAUAUUUUCAGGGCUCAGAAGAGAAGCAUUUACCGCUUCUGCGGCCGCCAGAUGUGCAAAAUUAUCCAAGUCAAACAAACCAGAUUGCAGGAGGAACAACUUAAUGAAUGUGAUUAUACCAAAUGGUACAAGUGGUAAUGAGAUACAGACACUAGAAACGCCGGUAUGUUACGGGAAGAACUGCACAGCGCUAAUGGGACUACAGUUGUUUUCUAACAGGCUUCCUAUUUGGAGGCCGUCCCAAUGGUGAACACAUGCACACGCAGGCAUCAGGCUGUGGGUCCGUUUGCUUUGCUCCUCGCAGGAAUGCUGGGAAUUGUUUGCUCUGUCUGCUUCAACUUCUGCUCCUUCUAGCCAGCUUAGUUUGGCUUUUUCCGGAUGCGCACGCGCGUGCACACACACACACACACACACACACACACAGUUAUUUUGCCAGUCAAGAAAUGCCCCUGUGUUUUAUGUUGCGCCCUGUAGAGAGCACAGUUUCCUCGUUGCUAUGGUGACCACCUGUAUGUCUUAAUGGUGUCCGAGAGGUUUUGGAUGGGAGCAGAGCUUUUGGAUGUGCGUCUCCGUAUCACGUCUGAGUGUGUUGCUAUUGAAGCCGCAGUGGACAGGAUCUGGGAUCAACGUUUGGGUUUGUCCUGCUGGCGAAUGCAGCGCUGUGGUCGGGUUGGCGAGGCGUAAAAGUGAGCGCGUUUCUGAAGAUAUUAAUGAAAGUUUUUGCCAAAGGCAGAAAUAAAACAGGGCUUUGUGGCUCCAUUUGACACACAAGCAGGGAGGAAUUCAGCUUUUGUUUUUUCCACAUGUAUUAAAAAAGUAUUUCUGUCCAACAUCUUAGUUAGUUCACGUCUGUUCAUGUUAGAAAAUAAUAAUAAAUGAUGCGCUAAAACAAAUAUUUGGACAGCUAAGCGAUAAAUGCUCCAGCCGGUACUAUAAGUUUGGGGUGUCAUGUAGUUUUGAUUGUGGUGAAGUGACAAAAUAACUGAAUGUGUUGUUUUCAGCAGAUUGUGGCGACUUCCUUGAACUGAAUUCAUGUCCCACAUUUGUCUGUUUUACAGGUUAGUGUGAAUAAUCAUUUACUCUCACUAAACUGUUAGUGUUUGUGAUGCCGCCAAUAAAUCCCUACCAAUCAAUCGACAGGGUUACAUUAGUUUAUUGCAGAAACAUGAAGCUCCAUUAAAGAGCUCAAGUCAAACUCCAGCUUGUUGUGCUGUAGAAGCAUAAGUAGACCUGGGAUCAGAAUGCUGUUUUUUUUUCUUCCUUUUUAGGGAAAAAUGCACAUUAACUCUGAAUGUAUGAUUAACGAGGCAAAGCCGUAAGACUAAUAAGCCAUAUUAAAUGUGU